UAAUACGAAGGGGGCUAGCGUUGUUCGGAAUUACUGGGCGUAAAGCGCACGCAGGCGGUUUGUUAAGUCAGAUGUGAAAUCCCCGGGCUCAACCUGGGAACUGCAUUUGAAACUGGCAAGCUAGAGUCUCGUAGAGGGGGGUAGAAUUCCAGGUGUAGCGGUGAAAUGCGUAGAGAUCUGGAGGAAUACCGGUGGCGAAGGCGGCCCCCUGGACGAAGACUGACGCUCAGGUGCGAAAGCGUGGGGAGCAAACAGGAUUAGAUACCCUGGUAGUCCACGCUGUAAACGAUGUCGAUUUGGAGGUUGUGCCCUUUGAGGCGUGGCUUCCGGAGCUAACGCGUUAAAUCGACCGCCUGGGGAGUACGGCCGCAAGGUUA
rnacentral:rRNA from 1 species